rnacentral:lncRNA from 1 species
AGGACCAUGUCAUCAAAUUUAGAGAAACUUGAACUAUUCUUGCUUUGACAUGAUAAUGAGAAAACAAUCAGUCCAAAAUGAGUCUUAGAGAGGAAUCAGCACCUUUGAAAACAAAUGUCUCCAACAGGAAAAAGCAUGUUUAUACCUGCUUCUUGAAAGGAGAUAUUCUACAGCCUCAUUAAGAGAAAAGCACGUUACACAGCAGAAAAGAGAUGGGAUUCUUCUGUGGCUGUGCUGCUCACUCAAGGGAGUCUGAACCAUUUUGACCAGGAAAAGCCAAAGGAAAGGCCACUGCCAAGGGCAGACCACACAUUGCCUGAAGUCAUUGUUCUCCAUUCCAGCCCCAAGAACUCUGCGAGAUCGAUGAAAGCAUACAUUGAGAAAUAAAAGUCAUGAGAAAAUUUUACAAAUUAGCUAGCUUUCAUUUCCUGUUGGCUUUUCCAGCACAUGCUUGGCACCAGAUGAGAGUAAUGUGGUAAUGCAGUAAAAUAUCCCUGUGAGACACUAUCUGCUUAGAGACAGGAGGCAGUGAGAUGCUUUAGCCCUUGAUGUCCUAAGGGCCUGUCUGGACAUCGUGAGGUUUUCUCAGAAGCCAAUGUAAUAGACUUUUUGUCAUAUCAAGUUUGUUUUUUAGGGAAUUUCAAGGCAUCAACAUUAUCUAUAUUUCCACUGCCGGCUCUGAUUUGGAAAUGCCAGUAAAGUUGGUGUGCUUUAUAUUUACUUGAUCUCUAAAAAAA